UAGAAGGUAAGUCACUGAUCCAGCACAAAGAGUUCAGUGCAACAGACCUAGCUAGAAGGUAAGUCACUGAUCCAGCACAAAGAGUUCAGUGCAACAGACCUAGCUAGAAGGUAAGUCACUGAUCCAGCACAAAGAGUUCAGUGCAACAGACCUAGCUAGAAGGUAAGUCACUGAUCCAGCACAAAGAGUUCAGUGCAACAGACUUAGCUAGAAGGUAAGUCACUGAUCCAGCACAAAGAGUUCAGUGCAACAGA